UCCGAGUUGACCCCGGCAGUCUCCCAUGAGUCCCCAGCACCCCGAAGGGUCUGCUGGCAACUAGGGGCGAGGGUUGCGCUCGUUGCGGGACUUAACCCAACAUCUCACGGCACGAGCUGACGACAGCCAUGCACCACCUGUCACCGGCCCCGAAGGACCCCGCAUCUCUGCGAGAUUUCCGGCGAUGUCAAACCCAGGUAAGGUUCUUCGCGUUGCAUCGAAUUAAUCCGCAUGCUCCGCCGCUUGUGCGGGCCCCCGUCAAUUCCUUUGAGUUUUAGCCUUGCGGCCGUACUCCCCAGGCGGGGCGCUUAAUGCGUUAGCUACGGCACAGGAAACCGGAGAGGCCCCCCACACCUAGCGCCCAACGUUUACAGCGUGGACUAC
rnacentral:misc_RNA from 1 species